rnacentral:rRNA from 1 species
AUUGAACGCUGGCUGCAUGCCUUACACAUGCAAGUCGAACGGUAACAGGUCUUCGGAUGCUGACGAGUGGCGAACGGGUGAUUAAUACAUCGGAACGUGCCUAGUAGUGGGGGAUAACUACUCGAAAGAGUGGCUAAUACCGCAUGAGAUCUACGGAUGAAAGCAGGGGAUCGCAAGACCUUGUGCUACUAGAGCGGCCGAUGGCAGAUUAGGUAGUUGGUGGGAUAAAAGCUUACCAAGCCGACGAUCUGUAGCUGGUCUGAGAAGACGAGUAGCGACACUGGGACUGAGACACGGCCCAGACUCCUACUGGAGGCAGCAGUGGGGAAUUUUGGACAAUGGGCGAAAGCCUGAUCCAGCAAUGCCGCGUGCAGGAUGAAGGCCUUCGGGUUGUAAACUGCUUUUGUACGGAACGAAAAGCCCCGGGUUAAUACCCUGGGGUCAUGACGGUACCGUAAGAAUAAGCACCGGCUAACUACGUGCCAGCCGCCGCGGUAA